AUGAUCUUGAUUUUGAAUUUGAAUUUGGACAAAAAUGUGAACUGGGUCUCAUGAACUUUGCAUAAACGCCACAGCACAGACCAGACACCCUUAGCUCCAUCAAUCUCUCAUGUCUGAGUUGAUUCCAAGCUAUCAUUUCGGUUACCGUAGCAAAAGCACCGUAGGCCGCGCUGAGACUGAGUGACUCACUUCGCUCUUCAGUUCAUUAAUCGGUUCUAGAAAGAAGGAAGCGUCGGUUGGCACGUACGGAAGGUCACAGUCGCACGUGGGAAACCACCUCGAUCUCAUUGGCUGAGGCCCGAGCUCAACUCACCCUUUUAAUUCCAAGCAUCUAAUUCUCGCUCGCACACUGCCUUUCCUCAACGAAAACUACUCUCAUCACCAUCACAUAUUCACCUUUAUUUUUUAGUUACUGUAAUUAAUAAAUAAAUGAAACAAAUCUCCCAGUCCCAGUCGGUACUCUUUACUCAUUGCUCAUCCAAGAGGAAGAAGUGAGAAGAAGUGAAUCAUUUUUAGUUCUCCAAUUUUUUGUUUUUUGUUUUUUGUUUUUUGUUGUUGUUCGUUUUCUCUUUGCAGCUCAUUGGUCUGCAGAUCGAAUCGAUCUCAAAGGCAUCAUUUUCUGUCUUUUGUAGCUGCCAUAUGGCAACAUAGACCAGAUAACCAUAUGUUACAACAACGAGGCAUUUUCGAGCUUGGUGUAUCAGAUGAUUUGUAGCAUCUAUAUUAUGCUUGCUCAGUGCCAUUAUGGGCAUCUGUCUGAUGAAACGUCAAUGGCCAUGGCUGCUUCACGUUCUAGUCUAUUUUAUCCUAAUAAACAGAAUCAGAGCUAUCAGUCCUGAUGGAGAGGCACUUCUAAGCUUCCGGAUAGCAAUUGUUAGUUCAGAUGGUUUCCUUUCUCAGUGGAGACCAGAGGAUCCUGAUCCAUGCAAAUGGAAAGGGGUGACAUGUGAUAGUAAAACCAAGAGAGUGACGACU